CUGAACGAUGUGGGGACUUCUGCUGGGAGUGGUGGGACAUGCCUGUGAUCCCAACAGCUUGAGAGGCUGAAGAAGAGGAUCACGAUUUCAAAACACCAGCCUUAGCAAUGUAACCAGACCCUUUCUCAAAAAAUAAGAUGGGUUAGGGAUGAGGCUCAGUGGUAAAGCCUCUUGUGUUCAUCCCUAGUACAAAAAAAAGGGGAGGGGGAGUGAUUUCUAUGAACUGUGAACCUUCUAACCCCUCAGUGAAAGCAAGUGAAAAGAUUAAUUUGUCACCACUUUGGGUUAAGUUUGUUUUUGAAAGAAACAAUGAUGAUGAUGACAUGCUGAUUUCUGUAGAAAGCCCUAAUUUGACAACUCCAAUUAUAUAAAAUCCGACAGAUAUUAGAAAAAAUACAUCAGGAAAUUCUAAUAAUUCCAACUUAAUGCCAUAACUGAAUUUGGGCUAUAGAGAAGCAGCAGCUUGAUUUUCUUUCUGAUUUGACAGGAAGAGGUCCAUUCAGGCUGGAGUUGUAGCUCAGGGGUAGAGCACCUGCCUAGCAUGUGUGAGACACUGGGUUUGGCUGCUGGCAC
rnacentral:lncRNA from 1 species